GAUUAGGCUGGCUUCAGAUAGUACACCAAUCGCCGUACCAGUAAACUGACACCCGCCUCGGAUGUACUAGUUGCCGAGAGGAAAUUCCGAUACAUCAUUAACGCAGCACCCGCUUGCUUUAUACCAGUCGGUCGAAUACUCCAAGUUCGGCCAAAUUUCCCGGCACAGUCAGUGUUACUCGCAGACGAGCGUGAUGGCAUUCGCUGAACGGACCCCACUAACCCUAGAAUCAGCGACUUCAAUCUACAUAUUAACGAAUGUCAUAUGACAAUUCAAAAUUUGGAUGUACGGCGUUCAAAUCGAAUCAGACGUAGACCUAACCAUUUUCUUCGUACGAUCUGAACGUCAAUAGCGGCGUAGAAGUUGAUAUGUUUGAGUAUCUUGCUUAAUUUGUAUUUGUAAUUUGUAUUAUAGUUAUCCAAGGUGUCAAAAUUGUAUGAACUCAAUUCAUGAGGAAUCCAUCCUUUAUUCCCUGGUUAUAAUCGAGACAUACGUCUGUGAUGUUGGAAACAAUUCCAACCUAAUUGGAGUUGAGCCAGAACUACCCUGGCCUAACGAGAGGAAGGUUAUUCUGUAGCUAUUUUGCUAGUGAAUACUAUUUAAACCUGCCAUCUUGGUGGAGCGAAUAGAAAUUUUGAACAUUUUUAAAUAUGUUUUUUCUUGAUUAACAACCCAAUAAUUAAUAAACUUCUUCCUUCUGGCUCUAAUCGGUUCAACCAAAUUUGCAGAAAAUUGUAAAUGUCAUGGCGAAUCGAUUUUUUUUCGCCCUGCUUACAAAUUUUGACACAUUAAAUUCCGAAAAAAAUGCUUUGUUCGCCGAUGCGGCCAACUUAUAAAUACGCCUUGAGUUAUCUUUUUAAAAAAUGUUGAUUGUGUACUGAUUUUUCUAUUCAUUUUUCAUAAAAUAAAAUCGUUCUCGAAUCUUCCUUUGUAAUUAUAACGGUGAGUAUUAUGGGGAGAUAGUCUGAACCCAAAGAAAGGACGGCUUGCCAGGAUACUUCACUCUGGAGAUCAGGGAAUGCAAUGAAAUGUCUAGCGAGCUGCUACGCCUCGUUAUCCUGAUGUAGGCAUCGUCAGUCAUCACAUCAUCUCUCACUCACUCUUGAACCCCGGUAGAAGGGACGACAGGACCUCUGUCUUUUUGGACGAUGUAACUGUGACUGAGUCGAAAAGAUGCACUAAAUUGUUCAACCGUCAAAUUAUUGAGCAUCCCGAUAGUGAUAAAGCUAGGAGGCGAGGCAUUCGUCGUAUCAGUGGUCUCCGAGCCGAUGGACAGCCAUCAUAAUUUACCGUGGACAAGGUUACGAAUGUCAUCCGUGGCGCUUAUUGAUUCAAUGAGUUGGGCCCCGAGGGAAUCUCUACAUUGAUUCACACCUGUCCGCAACCUGUCUUUGAACAAUCUUAUAAUACACGAUGUCGGGAAGAUGGGUAGAGUGAUCCCGUUACUGAAAGGAUUCGAAUAAGCCAAGACGCUGGCCACUAGUCUGGUCAUCCGAGCCUCGUUGGAGAAUUUCCUCAACAACUGCUUUGCAUGCCAUCACUGCACACAUUUGCUGUGCCUUCAAUAAGCCCACGCCAUGCGAUAGGCAUUCGAUACGGUUGGCCAUUCCAAACUAUUUGAGGACAUCGUCAACGCGUCCCUUCAGCCAGGCUUGAAACGCUGGGUAGCGAAUUAUCUGUGUGGUCGCCAGUCAUUUGUGGAAUUCGAGGAUAAGAAGUCGGCAUAGAGAUCGUUUCAUAUACGGACGAUUGUACGGUCAUGGAAACAGGCCCACACCCAUCGUUGACAUCUACGAUAGAACAAACGUCUACCUUAACGAACUUGCCGCUUAUUUCGCUGCAGGGGGUAUGCCACCGAAUCUUCAGCCCCAUUGUUCAUUAUAUACAAGAAUGAGAUAUAGAAACAAGGUCUUUAGCUCACUUUCUGGAAGAACUUGGGGUGCUGACAAAGAAACUUUCUUGUACAAAGCAAUUGGCCGCUCGGUGAUAAGUUAUACAGCGCCAGUGCGGUCUCGUCAGCUAUGUGACGCAGUGGAAUAAUAUUCAGAUCUGUCAGGAUGCCGCUCUUUGAACUACGACGGGCUGUCUUGUCUGUUCUCGCGUGAACCACUUGCAUCAUCAGACAAAGAUCCUAACCAUGCGAAGACAUAUCUACAUGCUGUCUAAGCAACACCUUUUGGGCUGUUAUCGCAGAGACCAUCCAAAUCAUAUUGUUGAUAGAAAUCCAGUGUCAGAAUCCGGCGUCAGUGAAUAAAAAUAAAUAUUACUUUGUUUUGUAAA
rnacentral:sRNA from 1 species